UCUAUCAUCGGUUCCGGACGCACACAUUAUCAUCGGCUUCCGAAGCUGUCAGCUAUUCGCCUUCGCCCCCAAGAUAAAUGCCCCCAUCGCGGCCCUCCGUUUAGGGUUUCAUAAUUGACGUCCACAGCUGUCUUCCCAGUUUCUGCUGUAUCUCCGCCGACAUCGUUCUCAUGGCGGACGACCUUCACUAUUCUUCUCGACCCGAUAACAAGCGAAAAUUCGACGAUCCGGUGGAAGGUGUCGUCCCUUCGCCGCUCACGAGGAGGCCGUCAGGCUUCUCGGCGCCGAUCGCCUCCUCGUCUCCUGAAGGCGGCUCCGGGGGUGCUGCCCCCGCCCAACCGUCUUACAAUAGCGUUCCUGCGCCCCUUGACGGAAUCGAGCUCGCCAAGCAGCGGGCCCAGGAGAUCGCCGCGAGGCUGUUCAGUGACGCCGAGGCCAAGCGCCCUAGGGUCGAGACCGGCGGAGCCUCGGACGAUUUGAGGGACAAAGGUUUUGGCUCUGCUCCGGGUGACAUUACACUAAAGCAUUUAAGCCAAACAAUAACUUCUCAAAUCAGUAUGACUUCUCAUCCAGUACCCACGUAUGGUUUUCAGAAUUCAAACAAAAAGAUUGAAAUUCCAAAUGGAAGGGUUGGUGUAAUUAUUGGAAAGAGUGGAGAAACUAUUAAAUAUCUUCAACUUCAAUCAGGGGCAAAGAUUCAAGUAACUAGAGAUAUGGAUGCUGAUCCUAAUUCAUUGACUAGAUCAGUGGAAAUUAUGGGUACGUCUGAACAGAUUAGCAACGCUGAGCAGUUAAUUAAUGAUGUACUUGCUGAGGCUGAUGCUGGGGCUUCUGCCACCAUUGCAUCUCGGAAAUUUGGUAGCUUUCAAACUGGUGCAGAACAAUUUCAGAUGAAAGUUCCAAACAACAAAGUUGGUCUGGUUAUUGGUAAAGGCGGUGAAACUAUAAAAAGUAUGCAAGCUAGAUCUGGUGCACGCAUCCAGGUGAUACCUCUCCAUUUGCCUCCUGGUGAUACAUCAACUGAAAGAUUUGUGUAUAUAGAUGGUACACAUGAGCAGAUUGAAGCAGCAAAACAGUUGGUCAAUGAGAUUAUUACAAGUGAGACUCGUGGUAGAAAUCAAACUAUGUCUGGAGGAUAUCAGCAAGGUUAUCAUGCACCUCGUCCACCAACUAGCUGGGGUCCACCCAAUGCUCCGCCCAUGCAGCAGCCUGCUUAUGCUUACAUGCCUCCUGGAGCUUAUCCUGGUGCACCACCUCAGUAUAAUAUGCCUCAACAAACUUAUGGAGGCUAUCCUUCUUCUGGAUGGGAUCAAACAUCCAAUCAACCUACUCAGCAAACUGCACCUGGUACUGGAUAUGAUUACUACAAUCAACAAUCCCAACAGCAGCAACAAACUGUUGGAGGAUCCUCUACUGAUGGUGGUGCAGGCUACAACUAUGGACAGCCACUUCCAAGUUACAACAAUCAGGCUUCCUAUGGCGAUGCUGCUUACCCCCAGACAUCUACUGGGCAACAAAGUUAUGGACAAGAUGGAUAUUCUACUGGAUACAAUGCUCCUGUUUAUUCCCAGGCAGCAUCCAACCUUCAGAGUGGGUAUGAUCAGCAGGCCUAUGGAUCGACUGUUAGCUAUGGCACAACGGCUGCCUCAUCUCAAGAUGGAUCUGCCUCUGCUUAUGGUGCCCAGGGGGAGUCAACUCAAUCACCUGCAGUUCAACAACCUCCAUCGAGUCAACCACCAAAUAACACUGCCGCAGGGUAUCCUACCCAAGGAAGUGUUGCAUCUGGAUAUGGCAUUCCUCCAACAUCGCAGCAGGGAUAUGGGAGCCAGCCUCCUGCCUCAACUGGAUACGGUCAAGCACCGCCACCUAUUUAUGGACAGCCUCCACAGGUCCAGAAGCCACCAGCUUCUCAGUCAGUUUAUGGACAAGGCCAGCAAGCUCCAGCCCCUCCAAGUAGCUAUAUGCAAUCUGCUCCUGUGCAGCCUGGAUAUGGUCAAUCUCCACUUCCUCAAUCCAGUUAUGGCCAACAGCAACCCUAUGGAAUGCCACCACCAAACCAAUCAGGUUAUGGUCAACAACAACAGCAGCCGUACAAUGACUCGUAUGCUAGUGGUGGCUACUCACAGCCUCCUUCAUACUCUGGUGACAAUGCAGUUCAAGGGACCUUCGAUACUUCUGUAGCAGCUGCUUCGGUCAAUGGUAGUGCAACUGUAACUAAGGCAUCUGGUACUUGAUAGUCUGGUAAGCCCUAUGUAGGAAUGUAGCUAAUUGGGUACUGUUCUAAGGUCUUUUGCUUUCUAAGAAUUUCUAAUUCUUCCACUUCUAAAUACUGCGUGCUGAGUUGUUACAUGCAUUCGUGUAAUCUUAGACUAUCAGACUCUUGGCAUCAUCCAACCAUUACAGCGAACUGUGUGACAUGGUGCUUUGCUGUUUUUCCAUAUUAUGCAGAAAGCAAUACUCGAUGAAGCAUGCGUAGGUUGGGGCUAUACGCCCCCCCUAUUGUCUCAAAGUUUCUUUGAUUCCAUCAUUGUGGUUCACUUUGCAUUUGUAAGCUUUUAGAGAAUAUCAGUCAAUGACCAACAUCCAAUUUCAUGAUUUGUCCAGAAUUUAUAUACAAUAACCGAGUAAACAAAAGUUUGUAGAACUCUCCA